CGGGUCGGUCCGUGGGGGGGAUCCGCAGCCCCUUCUUAGUAGGGCAGGGAGCGGGCGGGUCCGUGAAUUACUCAUAAUUCUCAGCGACCCUUGGCCCUAACGCAGAGCGCUGGGCUCCCCUCCGAGCCCCCAGCGGAGCAGCUGCUGUUAAUGCCAGAGCGUGUUUCCGCUGGCAGCGCAGACCCUCGUUCGAUAUUUCUCCUACAGCUCCGAACUGUGUCUGUUUGGGGCUCGUCGCUUUUCCAGGUGUCAGUCUCCUGCAGCCCCUGUUCUUUCUGCCCCUCAGUUACUGAUAACAACUCCUUGGGAUUGCCAGAAAACAAACCAUGUGUGUGUAAUACCAGGAAAUCAUGUUUGUUGCUGACAGUUUCAGCAGUCCCCUGGGCCAGUGCUUCCUGUCUGUGCUGCAGCUUCAGAUCUUUGCUCAUUGGGUCCAUGUGAAGUCCAGGCUGACAGCUUUCCUGGGCUGCAGAACACCAAUGUCUGUCUCCAGUACAGCCCCUGGCCUGCAGAGCCAGGGACAAGAAAUGGCCGUGGCAGAGCUGGUGACCUUCAAGGAUGUGGCUGUGUAUUUCUCUGAGGAGGAAUGGGCUCUGCUGGACCCAGGCCAGAGAGCCCUCUACAGCGUGUGAUGCAGGAGAAUUAUGAGGCUGUGAGCUGGCUGGCAGGUGAUGGGACGCUGAGUGAGAACAGUGAGAAGAGUCUGCAGCAGCAAGCACUGGAGCGAAUGGCUGCACAUGGGAUGUUAUUGGGAAGAUCUGAAGGGCAUGUUUCCCAGAAACCUGAGCAGGGAGAGACCUGUGAGUCAGCAUAACCCAGAAAAGCAGCAGGGAAACCACACAGAAGAGGGACAGGGAAAAUCCAGUUACUGGACCAGAGGGGUGAAAACAAACACAGAAACGGUUAAACUGAAAAUCCCAUGUGAAAGAUCGUACAUGGGAGAGAAGCCCUUCAAAUGCUCUGAUUGUGGGAAAAGCUUCAAUCGGAGGUCACGCUUUGUUAUCCAUAGGAGAGCCUACAGAGGGGAGAAACCCUUUUACUGCUCUGACUGUGGGGAAAGCUUCAGUCAGAAUUCAAACCUUGUUACGCAUAGGAGAACCCACACAGGAGAGAGACCAUUCAACUGCUCUGACUGUGGGAAAUGCUUCAGUCAGAGCUCAAAUCUUGUUAGACAUAAGAGAAUCCAUACAGGGGAGAACCCCUUCAACUGCUCUGACAGCAGAAAAAGCUGCAAGGAGAGGUCAGACCUGCUUAAACAUAGAAGAGCCCAUACAGGAGAGAGAGCCUUCAGCUGCUCUGAGUGUGGGGAAAAACUUCAGUCAAAGGUCAAAUCUUGUGAGACAUGGAAGAACCCACACAUGGGAGAAACCCUUCAACUGCUCUGACUGUGGGAAAAGCUUCAAGGAGAGCUCAGACCUUGUUAAACAUGAAAGAAACCUAACAGGAGAGAGACCCUUUAGCUGUUUCUGACUGUGGGAAAAGCUUCAGUUGCAGCUCACACCUUAAUACACAUUAAUAAGCCACACAGGGGAGAAACCAUCCUCCUGCUCUGUGAGUAAAGUGUCAGACAGAGCUCAAAUCUUGUUAGACAUGGGAGAAUCCAUAGUGGAGAAGCCCUAUAACACAGGGCUACUCAACAGGUGACCCACACUACAGCCCCUUUGUUUGCAACCCACAGUGCAAUUUGGGUUUACAUGGGUCUCAACAUGCAGCCUGCAGGUGGGAGCUAAAACAAAAAAGUAUUCAAUAUAAUGGCCUCCUGUUGAGAUGCGUUUUAGUACAGCCGCUCUCCGAGUUGCGAACGGUUAAGUUACAACUAUUCACACUUACGACCAAAGCUCCCAUGGAGCGGUCGUAAAGGCGGUCUCCAAGUUACGAACACGACCCACGCUUACGAACAGCGCGGUCAUGUGUAACUCAAUGGGGUCUGAGUUAUGAACAGUUCGUAACUCGAAGAGUGGCUGUAGUUAAAUUCCUGGACUGUCACUGCUCAUUAAAAGUGCUGUCAUAUGGGUGGAAAUCGGGUAACUAUUGAAUUAAUAGCAGCAGAACUGACUUAAAUGGGGUCUGCAUGUUGUGUAGUCUUGCCUUAAUAUUUUUCUUCAUGCCUGUCAGUGUGAAAGAAGCCAUUAGCACAUAUUUGAACAUAUAUCGCCUCCUUAGCUAUGCUUCGGCCACGUGGGCCCCAGAGAUUGGAGGCACCAUGGCCAUAGCACCUGUGACCUCUGGGGCCAAAUCAUGGCCGUGGCAGCAGAAUCUCCUGCCUUUGGGGGCACAUGGCUAUGGCAGUGAUGCCUCUGGACUUCAGGGCUGACCCUCAGCUAUGUGGCUACAGCAGUGGUGCCCCUGGGGCCAACUGCAUGGCUGCCACUGCAGCAGGUUCUCCCUCCGGGACAGUGUGGCUGGAGAUGUUGCUGCAAGGGGGUAAAAAUCCAGGUCAUAUUCCCCCUUAUCCCCACCUCCCCAUCCCAUCCCCUCUUCUUCCUGCCCACCAACACCCCCAGCUUGCUCUGACAUCCUCCCUUGUUCUUGCACACACUCUCCUGGCCACACGCUGCCCCUUCCCUUGUUCCUUCUCCCUCCACCUGGCCAGACACUGUACUCCCAGCCUGCUUCUGCACCCCAUCUCCCUCCCAUAUCCUGCACCCCAUCCCUAUCCUGCUUCUUGGCAGCCCUGCCUCACACACUGUGCCCAUUUUUGUCCCCAUCCCAGAGCCUAGGGAGGUCCAUGAAAUCCACUACAGAACCCCAGAAAAGUAAAUCUGGUCUGUGGGAAGCCCUGAGCCUCAGUCCCCACCUUCCCUUCCCCCACGUGAGGCUGGGGCACCAGAGGAGUGAGGUGUUUCAGUUGGGGCUACAUCUGUAAGCGUUGGUGGGAUUUUGGAGGAAUUUUUUUUGCUUCUCACUUGUGUGGUCCCCAGCUGAUUUUUUGUGGGUCAGCGACCCUUGACCCAAAAAGGGUUCCCCUCCCCCACCAUAAAUAAAGAAAACAUUGAAACCUUUUGUGUUCGACAUAAUAUUUUACUUUAUUUAAAAUGAAGGUUGAAAAACUAACAUGAGAAAGUUAAAAUGCUUAAUCUGCUUCAUAGUUUAAAUUAAACCACUUUUCCUAGCUGCACCUGGUUCAGAAAAUAAUGUUACUGUACCCAGCAUGGAAUUCUCAAUCCCACUCCCUUCCACCUGAGGCCCCACCCCUUCUGAUCAAGAUCCCGCCCCCUUCAGGGUCUGCUCGCAGCCAUUUCUGAAAUUUGUGAAGUGGGCCCCCUUCCAAACUUAUUGCCCACCCCUGCCCUAUAACCUGAGUUCCCUUUAAGCCAGGCCUGGGCAAAAUACGGCCUUUGGGCCUGAUCUAACCUGCUAAGCUACCAGAUCUGGCCUGCAGAAGCAGUGGGGUUCCCCAGGCAGGCUCCCCUGCUUUCCUCUCAGCCCUGUAAGCCACUUAGAAAUAGGAAUGUUAAAUUUAGUUUAGUCAACUAAUCAACUAGUUAAUGAAAUUUCCAUGGACUAGUUGAUAAGCAGGGGAGCCACAGUAGGAUUAGCUCCCAGCCCUAGAAGCUAACCUCACUGCAGCUUUGCCUUUUAAAUGCAUUAAGAGCUGGGGUAGGUGUUUGGCUCCUGGUGCUCGGGGAAGUAGUCUGGUUGGGCUGUUUUCCCACCUCAACACAACGUUCUUCCCUCGCCUUUUCUCUUCUGCACUCAGGGCUUGUGGGUGGGGACAAUGUCGCUCUCAGAGGCCCCUGUUGCAGGGUUCAUGCUCCCGGUUGCCAGGCAGGGGGCAAACAGAGCUUGCGUCGUGUUGUUGGAGGGAUAAUCCCAGGUCCCCACAGGAACUCGACAGCUCCGAGUGCUGGCUCCCAGACAGAGGUGCUGCUGAAGGAGCCAGCCAUGGGACCUGACAGCACUGGCCCUUCCCCCAUAGGGGGCAGCCCUGGUGUCCUUCUGUGCUGCCUAAUAGGCAGCCUCUUGGGGAAACAACUCCUGCCCCUCCCCCUGCAAAGGAGCCCUUAUGGGGUUAUGGCCCUGAUUAUCUGGCACCUUGUGAUGCUGCUCUGGGAGUGGCCUGAAAGGAUGUUGUACUUAAAAGAAGUACUCGGGAUCUUUUUCUAAAGAAAGCCUGCUAAAAAACUAAAUGAUUUCUUUGCUUCAGUCUUCACGGCUGAGGACGUUGGGGAGAUUCCUGAAUCUGCACCGUCCUUUGUGGGUGAGGAAUUUGAGGAACUAUCCCAGAUCGAAGUGUCAUUAAAGGAGGUUUUGGA